GAAGAAGAAGAAGGAGGAGGAGGAAAUGGGCUCGUUACUUGUAUUCUUCUGUGAGGGAGAACUUAUGUUUUGAUCUUAUGACAAGCAAAGUGAAUCGAAAGAAGUCCAAGUUGCGAAAUCUUCAAAAGAAACAAAAAAUUCAGUUGCUUCAAAGAGGAAAAAGCCUUUGAAUGAUUCUUCAUGUGUCAAUGUUAAGGAAGUUUAUGCAAAAAAGAAAACAUCAUAUACACCACACGAAAAGGGAUUGUGGGGUGCAUGUCGCGGCAUACGCAGAGUUUCUUAGCACAGUUGGGCUGGUUCCACAAGUAAAAUUUGAUGCCAAUUUACUCCGCCAAGGAUAUGGUGCACUCCUUUGGGACUAUGUUAUGCGGAAGAUAGACGCUGAUGUCGUAAGCGAGAGCGAAGCACCUUUAAAGAUUCUUAGGCACAUCACUGAUUCUGAUACAUCGGUGAAGAUAAUGUUAGAGUAGUCUUAGGUGAAUGUAGUUUUCGAUGGGAGUUUUUGUGAAUACUAUUUUUCAUGGACAGUGUGUUGGUAAAGAUGGUGUUAGUUUAGCAAAAAAAAUAAUUUAGCGACCGUAUCAACAGUGUUUGUAUAUUAUCAUUUCAAGCAUCCAAUCAAUAUAUUGUCUGUUUUUGUGCUUC